CCGGCUCAUCGCGCCGCCCUCCUUCGACGGCACCACCAUGAGGUUCGUCGUGGAGCACCGGUGAUGGCGGGGGCAGGCGGGGCCGCUGGUGCAAGGAAGAAGAGCUAUCCUCCUUUAAUCUGGUACUCAUUCGGUAACACUAAGCAUCCAUCCUUAAAACUGUUUCUACAGUUAUUUAAUUUUUGCUUCAUACAAAAAAGUGUGCAUGUUUUCUGUUUCCUCUUAAAUACUCCCAUAUUUGGAGUAUGCAUACAUUUAUUUAUGCACACAAGGUUGAAUUAUUGCAUUACUGUCUGUAAAGUUUUUUUUAUAUGGAAGCCAAGCUGUAGACUUUAUACAUGCCCCUAUGGUCAUGGUUAUGUGCAAGUACUAAAAAAUGUGCAUAUAAAACAAUAUCUUUAUUUCUUUUUUUUUAAACAAAAGUUUUCACUUGCUGAGCAGUUUGAAUACCAUUAUAAUAUUUGU